rnacentral:rRNA from 1 species
UACGUAGGGUGCAGGCGUUAAUCGGAAUUACUGGGCGUAAAGCGUGCGUAGGCGGUUUGUUAAGACAGGUGUGAAAUCCCCGGGCUUAACCUGGGAACUGCGCUUGUUACUGGCAGACUGGAGUGUGGCAGAGGGGGGUGGAAUUCCAGGUGUAGCAGUGAAAUGCGUAGAUAUCUGGAGGAACACCGAUGGCGAAGGCAGCCCCCUGGGCUCACACUGACGCUGAUGCACGAAAGCGUGGGGAGCAAACAGG